rnacentral:rRNA from 1 species
GACGAACGCUGGCGGCGUGCUUAACACAUGCAAGUCGAGCGGAGCGGCGAACGGGUGAGUAACGCGUGAGUAACUGCCCCCCUCUCUGGGAUAACAGUUGGAAACGGCUGCUAAUACCGGAUAGUGGGGGAUGAUUCGGGUCCUAUCAGCUUGUUGGCGGGGUAGUGGCAUACCAAGGCGACGACGGGUAGCCGGCCUGAGAGGGCGACCGGCCACCUUAGGCUGAGCUACGGCCCAAUCUCCUACGGGAGGCAACGGUGGGGAAUAUUGCACAAUGGGGGAAACCCUGAUGCAGCAGCGCCGCGUGCGGGAUGCCUGCCUUCGGGUUGUAAACCGCUUUCAGCCAUGACGCGGUAGUGAAAGAAGAAGCACCGGCUAACUACGUGCCAGCAGCCGCGGUAAUUC